rnacentral:rRNA from 1 species
UACGGAAGGCAGCAGUGGGGAAUAUUGCACAAUGGGCGAAAGCCUGAUGCAGCUAUGCCGCGUGUAUGAAGAAGGCCUUAGGGUUGUAAAGUACUUUCAUCGGGGAGGAAAAAACAAAACUAAUAAUUUUAUUUCUUGACGUUACCCGAAAAAGAAGCACCGGCUAACUCCGUGCCAGCAGCCGCGGUAAUACGGAGGGUGCUAGCGUUAAUCAGAAUUACUGGGCGUAAAGAGCACGUAGGUGGUUUUUUUAAAGUUCAGAUGUGAAAUCCCUGGGCUUAACCUAGGAACUGCAUUUUGAAACUGAAAUACUAGAGUAUCGUAGAGGGAGGUAGAAUUCUAGGUGUAGCGGUGAAAUGCGUAGAUAUCUGGAGGAAUACCUGUGGCGAAAGCGGCCUCCUAAACGAAUACUGACACUGAGGGUGCGAAAGCGUGGGGAGCAAACAGGGAUUAGAUACC